AUUGAACGCUGGCGGCAGGCCUAACACAUGCAAGUCGAACGAGUGGCGGACGGGUGAGUAAUUUCUGGGAAACUGCCUGAUGGAGGGGGAUAACUACUGUAAACGGUAGCUAAUACCGCAUACCAUCAGAUGUGCCCAGUUGGGCUUAGCUAGUUGGUGGGGUAACGGCUCACCAAGGCGACGCUCCAUAGCUGGACUGAGAGGAUGACCAGCCACACUGUAACUGAGACACGGUCCAGACUCCUACGGGAGGCAGCAGUGGGGAAUAUUGCACAAUGGGCGCAAGCCUGAUGCAGCCAUGCCGCGUGUAUGAAGAAGGCCUUCGGGUUGUAAAGUACUUUCAGCGGGGAGGCGUUACCCGCAGAAGAAGCACCGGCUAACUCCGUGCCAGCAGCCGCGGUAAUAC
rnacentral:rRNA from 1 species